GACGAACGCUUGCGGCGUGCUUAACACAUGCAAGUCGAACGGAAAGGCCCUGCUUUUGUGGGGUGCUCGAGUGGCGAACGGGUGAGUAACACGUGAGUAACCUGCCCUUGACUUUGGGAUAACUUCAGGAAACUGGGGCUAAUACCGGAUAGGAGCUCCUGCUGCAUGGUGGGGGUUGGAAAGUUUCGGCGGUUGGGGAUGGACUCGCGGCUUAUCAGCUUGUUGGUGGGGUAGUGGCUUACCAAGGCUUUGACGGGUAGCCGGCCUGAGAGGGUGACCGGCCACAUUGGGACUGAGAUACGGCCCAGACUCCUACGGGAGGCAGCAGUGGGGAAUAUUGCACAAUGGGCGGAAGCCUGAUGCAGCAACGCCGCGUGCGGGAUGACGGCCUUCGGGUUGUAAACCGCUUUCGCCUGUGACGAAGCGUGAGUGACGGUAAUGGGUAAAGAAGCACCGGCUAACUACGUGCCAGCAGCCGCGGUGAUACGUAGGGUGCGAGCGUUGUCCGGAUUUAUUGGGCGUAAAGGGCUCGUAGGUGGUUGAUCGCGUCGGAAGUGUAAUCUUGGGGCUUAACCCUGAGCGUGCUUUCGAUACGGGUUGACUUGAGGAAGGUAGGGGAGAAUGGAAUUCCUGGUGGAGCGGUGGAAUGCGCAGAUAUCAGGAGGAACACCAGUGGCGAAGGCGGUUCUCUGGGCCUUUCCUGACGCUGAGGAGCGAAAGCGUGGGGAGCGAACAGGCUUAGAUACCCUGGUAGUCCACGCUGUAAACGGUGGGUACUAGGUGUGGGGUCCAUUCCACGGGUUCCGUGCCGUAGCUAACGCUUUAAGUACCCCGCCUGGGGAGUACGGCCGCAAGGCUAAAACUCAAAGGAAUUGACGGGGCCCCGCACAAGCGGCGGAGCAUGCGGAUUAAUUCGAUGCAACGCGUAGAACCUUACCUGGGUUUGACAUGGAUCGGGAGUGCUCAGAGAUGGGUGUGCCUCUUUUGGGGUCGGUUCACAGGUGGUGCAUGCCUGUCGUCAGCUCGUGUCGUGAGAUGUUGGGUUAAGUCCCGCAACGAGCGCAACCCUUGUUCACUGUUGCCAGCACGUUAUGGUGGGGACUCAGUGGAGACCGCCGGGGUCAACUCGGAGGAAGGUGGGGAUGACGUCAAGUCCUCAUGCUCCUUAUGUCCAGGGCUUCACGCAUGCUACAAUGGCUGGUACAGAGAGUGGCGAGCCUGUGAGGGUGAGCGAAUCUCGGAAAGCCGGUCUCAGUUCGGAUUGGGGUCUGCAACUCGACCUCAUGAAGUCGGAGUCGCUAGUAAUCGCAGAUCAGCAACGCUGCGGUGAAUACGUUCCCGGGGCC
rnacentral:rRNA from 1 species